rnacentral:rRNA from 1 species
AGUGAACGCUGGCGGUAGGCCUAACACAUGCAAGUCGAACGGCAGCACAGUAAGAGCUUGCUCUUACGGGUGGCGAGUGGUGGACGGGUGAGGAAUACAUCGGAAUCUACUUUUUCGUGGGGGAUAACGUAGGGAAACUUACGCUAAUACCGCAUACGACCUACGGGUGAAAGCAGGGGAUCUUCGGACCUUGCGCGAUUGAAUGAGCCGAUGUCGGAUUAGCUAGUUGGCGGGGUAAAGGCCCACCAAGGCGACGAUCCGUAGCUGGUCUGAGAGGAUGAUCAGCCACACUGGAACUGAGACACGGUCCAGACUCCUACGGGAGGCAGCAGUGGGGAAUAUUGGACAAUGGGCGCAAGCCUGAUCCAGCAUACCGCGUGGGUGAAGAAGGCCUUCGGGUUGUAAAGCCCUUUUGUUGGGAAAGAAAAGCAGCAGGUUAAUACCCCGCUGUUCUGACGGUACCCAAAGAAUAAGCACCGGCUAACUUCGUG